rnacentral:misc_RNA from 1 species
GAUGAAGAACGUAGCGAAAUGCGAUAAGUAGUGUGAAUUGCAGAAUUCAGUGAAUCAUCGAAUCUUUGAACGCACAUUGCGCCCCUUGGUAUUCCAUGGGGCAUGCCUGUUCGAGCGUCAUUUGUACCCUCAAGCUUUGCUUGGUGUUGGGCGUCUUGUCGUAUUACGACUCGCCUUAAAUACAUUGGCAGCCGGCACUUUGGCCUAGGAGCGCAGCACAUUUUGCGAUCGUAGCCCGUUGUACUGGCGUCCAUCAAGAACAUUUACCACGUUUGACCUCGGAUCAGGUAGGGAUACCCGCUGAACUUAAGCAUAUCAAUAGAGGA